CCUACGGGUGGCUGCAGUGGGGAAUAUUGCACAAUGGGCGCAAGCCUGAUGCAGCCAUGCCGCGUGUGUGAAGAAGGCCUUCGGGUUGUAAAGCACUUUCAGCGGGGAGGAAGGCGGUGAGGUUAAUAACCUCAUCGAUUGACGUUACCCGCAGAAGAAGCACCGGCUAACUCUGUGCCAGCAGCCGCGGUAAUACGGAGGGUGCAAGCGUUAAUCGGAAUUACUGGGCGUAAAGCGCACGCAGGCGGUCUGUCAAGUCGGAUGUGAAAUCCCCGGGCUCAACCUGGGAACUGCAUUCGAAACUGGCAGGCUAGAGUCUUGUAGAGGGGGGUAGAAUUCCAGGUGUAGCGGUGAAAUGCGUAGAGAUCUGGAGGAAUACCGGUGGCGAAGGCGGCCCCCUGGACAAAGACUGACGCUCAGGUGCGAAAGCGUGGGGAGCAAACAGGAUUAGAUACCCGUGUAGUC
rnacentral:rRNA from 1 species